ensembl:lncRNA
AAAGACAACAGCCAUGUCUUGAGGCAGCGAAUGCACAGGGAAGUGCCACUCAUAUGUGCAAGGAGCCAUCACUACAGUGAGGCACCAUGCUUCCUCACCACAAAAUCGGUCCUGAAGCCUCACUCUGUUGUGAGUGGUGCACGGUGCGAUCCUGGCACUGAGUGGGCAGAGCAGUGAGUGGGGAUAGCAGUGUGCAGGAGUGACCCAGGGAGCUGUGCCCUACAGCAGAGCUGUGCAGUGUUCUGCAGGUUGGGGAGGAUUUCUUUACUGAUAAUAUCAGUGCAAGCGGUUUGCAGGGUGCUCAGUGAUCAUACAUGAAGCCAUCCCACUUACUCCUUCAUCAGCUGCUGCUCUCAUUUACCUACUUCUAAACUGUCCCAAAUCUACCCUGCUCCAGAACCAUAAAGCAGAACAGGAUUCUCCUAAACUGCUUCAUGUUUUAAUCAGUAGAAGUCUUCUGUGCUGCUCAUAACAUCUUUCCACUGUUCUUCGAACAAAGAGAAGAAAGAGGGUUUGGUUUUCCCAAGAUCAGUAAGUCCAGAAGAUUUAAACAGCUGUGCAGAGGAGACGCAUUGUCCCAUCCAAAUACAGAGACAAACGCCGUCAGAGUCCUCAUUAGCACUCUGCAUUGUUUUUCACUAAUCAAGUCAGUGUGAAUGAUCCUGCUCGUGAUUGUGCUUGAUUGUAUUAGUGUUACAGAUUGAACAGUCCAUUUUUUAAUCUGCGGAAAGCAGCAGCAUUAUUGCUGAACUAUAUUUAGAGAUUUUGUAGAUAGCAUACUCUGUUCUCUUACUGCUUCACUGUAAUAGGAUCUUACAUGUAGAGCCCCAGGGAAAAGGAAGUGUGCCCUACACAGGUGGCUGUGAGGUAGCUUUGCAUGAUGAACAUGUACAUUUCUGAGUUAGCAGCCACUUCACGUCCUCCUGUCUGACCAACAACCAUGGUGGUUCCAUACAAAAAUAUUGCCCCCACGCAUGUUAGUACAGCUCUUGCCACAAUGGUGGGGGUUGAGGCAGAGCCAGGCAGACGCUAAAGCCCAGAACCUUCUUCUGGGGAUUGGUAAAGCCAGGUCACUAAUGCAGAGGAGAAGGGAAAAGCAAAAUUUUAUAGUUUCAGGUGUAACUUCUAAUAGUUUUAUUAAAGUUCAGUCAGUUUCAGUGUUAGAAGGACAUAAUAUUCUGUAUGCUCUCAGCUCCUAGAUCCCCCACAAAAGUGAUGCGAAGAUUCCCUUUGUCCCACCUUUGUUAGGUGUCAGCAAGAAAUAAUGUAGUAACUGCACAGAGAAUAACCCUGCUCCAGUUUUAAAGCCACCAUUAUUUCAAAUGGCACUUUUGGUUUGGUAUUUUCAGAUUCCUAAAAUAAAAUUAGGUAGGGUUGAUAAGGAAGCGCACUCAUAGGCUACAUGCUCACUGAUGUAGGAAAAGAUAAUGCUCACUUCCAUCACGCCCUGACUUCAGUGCUGCUAAAUAAAGCCCAGAGGUGCCACUAUAGUUUUAAACCUCAUGGACAAAAUCACAUUUUGUAAAUGGCACCCACCUUGCCUGCACUUAUACUAU